CAAACCUGCCCCGCCGCAAUCGGCGACGCCGCCCCCUCGCUGCCCCAACCGGCGCCGCCGGUGAACUCCCUCGCGGCCACCUCCCCUCCUCCCCAACGGCGGCGCGAACCCCUCCUCUUCUCCCCAAUGGCGGCCCCCUCUGUCGCCUGGUGGAGGCAAGAUUUGGGCCGGCGCCUGGCCACCGCGCGCCUUCGCCCGGCCCUGCCACCUCAGCCUCCUCCCGGUGGUGCUCCUCCGCCGACGAGCGCCCUGGAUCCGGUGACGAGCUCGUGAACCACACACUGUUGUCGGCACUGCGGAGAGGGGUCACCGCCUCCCCGAGCUUCUCUCUCCCCUCACCUCAUCCCCCUAUCCUCAACAGAGGAGCAACGAUAUAGAGGGAUCGGCGUUGAACAAAUCCUGCUGUAUGCCAAGUUCAACCAGAGCGACUACUGCAGUGCGCCCUACUUAACAAGGGCGUUUAAAAUCAGAUGAUGCCAUAUAGUAAAUGCUUUCUUUGCUGUUAUACUCCAUUGGUACUAGCUUGAAUCUGAACAAUUUCAUACAAAUGGUCAUUUUGCAAGUUACUGAGCAUGUCGUUCUCUUCUUAUGCCCAUGAUGCAACCCCUGUAUUUUUUGGAUGAGUUUGGUGAUGUAGCUGCCUUUGGAUGCAGCAACACAACCUAUGGGUACAGUAGGUGAUGCAGCUAUGGAUAUUGUGCGUGAUACUGCUACUAUGUGCAAUAAGGGAUUUGCUUUGA